GCUGCCACUUGCCUGCUACAGAAUACCUUCUCUUCUUUGUCCCAAGCCAUAGAAGGGCUUUGACAGAUCACCCUGACUUUUGGAGAGAAAAGAACAUCUGAACGAGCUCUGCCUAAAGAAUUCUUCCCCACUAAGCGGAAGCCAUUACUCCAAGGUACUUCCUGAAUCUCACCAGCCAAUGGCCCCAGAAAGAUAGCAGCUGUGAGUAAAACCAUGAACUUUCUGGUCACAAGGAUUUUCUGGUUUAAUUGCUUUAACCCAGCUUAGUCCCCAUUAUACUCUCUUGGCUGUCAGGGAUUUGUCUUCUUUAGUUCUUGUCUUCUUUAGUUCAUGUCUUCAGAACUCAGUUAUCUGUAUGCAACCAGCAUAUCGCCGUUUAUCAGGAAUUACAGAAGAGGAAGCUCAGCUAAGCCUCCUUUCAGAAGUUGGCUCAGAAUUAUGCAAGUGGGUUGAAAUGAGUAGUAGAAACAUGAUUUUAAUUCGUUUCAUCUGUUCACUACCUGCGGCGCAGAUGUAUGGUCCGUGAGUACUGCAGCCCGUGUUCCAUUUCUCUAUCAUCACAUCCCUUGCCCCCUUCAGUGAACUAGAGAUCCUUAAAUUCCCUUCCCAGAAAGUUAUAUAUCAUCUCAACAUUCCUGAAUUUCCAUCUUGUGCUUUUCAUGUGAUCAACAAAAACAUAUAAAUAAUUGUAAAACUGUGAAAGGCUACUUCUUGUUUCUGCUGAGAAACGGACCCGUUCUCAGCAUUUCCUUACAAUGCAUCCCCACGUUUGUUCCCUUCAAAACAGAACUGUGACAGUUCUGUUACUUUCACUAUAAAUAUUUGUUCAGUUUCAACCUUAGGAGGCAUCUGUUUGUGGUGCAUGUAGACUCCCCCAACCCUACCUGAGGGUUUAUCACUUAAGAAGAAAUCGGCUUUGUAUCAUAUACUCUAUAAUCUCCAGGAAACAUAUAUGGUACCUCCAUCCCCUACAAUAGGUAGUGUUCUUGUUUUGGAUUGUCCUAUAUGAGAUAUACAAGUGAAAAGCCUAUCAAAAUGCUAACCGUCUUUAAUGCUCAACAUAAGCUCCAGCGUGGAGGCUUUCAUGAUGACUCCCACCUUCAUGGACCACCAUCUCCCCUGCAGUCCCACAGCACCAAUGCCCUGUGUCCCACAGUUAGCGCGUAAUCAGAUCCUGUGUCAAACUGAUGCCUGCUGUUCUGGGUGGGGUACUGUGGUCUCACCAGUUACAUUAGCAUUUCCCAGAAGGCUGUGUGCAUGUAGCUAGUUCUCGGAGUCCUCCCUGGUCCUCUGCCUCCUCCCCUAUAAACAAUAAAAUGAACCCUUUCUGUGAUUCCCCAAUCACCUUCUUUUCCCCUCUAGAGUGAUAGUCUUCACACUGAAUGUAAUUUUCUUCUGACAUUCCUGCAUGUACCAGUAGAUUGUGAACUCACUGAAGGCAAACCAGUGUCUUGUUCAUCUUUAUAUCGUCAAUGUCAGAGCCAGAGUGGGACUUGGAGGAAUGAUGAGCCACGAUUAUUUAAAAGAGCAAAAAGGAGCAUGGAAACAUGGACAAGAAUAAUGGAGGAAGCCUGCGGUAUGUGAAGGAAAACACAGUUUAACAUAUGCUCAUCAUCCAGCUGAGAGCAACUUCUAGGAACGCCACGCAAGGAGCCAAGAAGCUUUAAUGGCAGACAUUUGCUUCAUAAGCCAGAGCUCGCGAUCAACAGCUCACUUCCAGAGCAUCAGGAGCUUGUGUGAAAUGUCAUGUCCACACUCCAUCCAAAACAAGCCUUUGGAGGCUAAACACAUUAGCGAUUUAAGCAAGGAAUCCUAAAGUGAAAAAUUAAGUAAAUUCAUAUUAACCAUAUUCUUUACCCACUGCAAAUAGAUUCAUUGAGAAAAGUUUCUUAAUGCAAAACACAAUUAGAUAGAUCUGGAAAAGUCUGGGGAAAGGUCUAUGGUGUCACAAAAACCUGUCCUGGGCUCUCUUACGUUUACCAUUUCUUGACAAUUCAUACGAUGAUGUAGGUGCCAUUUUUAUCCUUCACCAAAAAAAAAAAAAGAAAAAUAUAAUUAAA